rnacentral:lncRNA from 1 species
ACCAGGCGCCUCCUGGUUGUCCUCUGUGUGCUGUUUUCCUCUGUGUGCUCUUGUCCUGGGCUGGACCACACCUGUGGGAUGGCGAGCUUGUUAAAUGGCCGUGAGGAAGACUUUAUUCAGGACCAUCGAGACAGUGGGGUUGCACCUUCAUGUGAGGACGCCGGGAGAAGACAGCCGUCUGGGAGCCAAGGAGAGAGGCCUUGGCGGAAGCCAACCCUGCAGCACCUUCAUCUUGAAUUUCUGGUUUCCAGAACUGUG